rnacentral:rRNA from 1 species
CGGAUUGCAGGCUGGAACUCGCCUGCAUGAAGUUGGAGUUACUAGUAAUCGCAGAUCAGAAUGCUGCGGUGAAUGCGUUCCCGGGUCUUGUACACACCGCCCGUCACACCACGGAAGUUGGGGGCGCCCGAAGCCACUUAGCUAACCCUUUUGGGAAGCGAGUGUCGAAGGUGAAAUCAAUAACUGGGGUGAAGUCGUAACAAGGUAAC